AAUAGAUACCCAGGUAGUCCAUGCCGUAAACGUUGGGCACUAGGUGUGGGGCUCGAUUCCACGAGUUCCGUGCCGCAGCAAACGCAUUAAGUGCCCCGCCUGGGGAGUACGGCCGCAAGGCUAAACUCAAAGGAAUUGACGGGGGCCCGCACAAGCGGCGGAGCAUGCGGAUUAAUUCGAUGCAACGCGAAGAACCUUACCAAGGCUUGACAUGCACGGGAAGCCACCAGAGAUGGUGGUCUCUUUGGACACUCGUGCACAGGUGGUGCAUGGUUGUCGUCAGCUCGUGUCGUGAGAUGUUGGGUUAAGUCCCGCAACGAGCGCAACCCUGUCCCAUGUUGCCAGCGGGUUAUGCCGGGGACUCAUGGGAGACUGCCGGGGUCAACUCGGAGGAAGGUGGGGAUGACGUCAAAUCAUCAUGCCCCUUAUGCCUUGGGCUUCACGCAUGCUACAAUGGCCGGUACAAAGGGCUGCGAUACCGUAAGUGGAGCGAAUCCCAAAAAGCCGGUCUCAGUUCGGAUUGGGU
rnacentral:rRNA from 1 species